AGUGAACGCUGGCGGUAGGCCUAACACAUGCAAGUCGAACGGCAGCACAGUAAGAGCUUGCUCUUACGGGUGGCGAGUGGCGGACGGGUGAGGAAUACAUCGGAUUCUACUUUUUCGUGGGGGACAACGUAGGGAAACUUACGCUAAUACCGCAUACGACCUACGGGUGAAAUCAGGGGAGCUUCGGACUUUGCGCGAUUGAAUGAGCCGAUGUCGGAUUAGCUAGUUGGCGUGGUAAAGGCCCACCAAGGCGACGAUCCGUAGCUGGUCUGAGAGGAUGAUCAGCCACACUGGAACUGAGACACGGUCCAGACUCCUACGGGAGGCAGCAGUGGGGAAUAUUGGACAAUGGGCGCAAGCCUGAUCCAGCCAUACCGCGUGGGUGAAGAAGGCCUUCGGGUUGUAAAGCCCUUUUGUUGGGAAAGAAAAGCAGCAGGUUAAUACCCCGCUGUUCUGACGGUACCCAAAGAAUAAGCACCGGCUAACUUCGUG
rnacentral:rRNA from 1 species